AAGGGGAAUGUGAAAUGUGGAAUGAAUCAGGAAAUAGCCCUUUGAUUUAUCAAAAAUACAGAAGUAGUAGUCUUCCCGGGUCUCACUGUUCGGAUAACUUUCCUUUUAAUCCUACUGCAUAGGCAAGAUCUCAUCCUUCGGCGAAUCAUGUGGGGCUCAGAAGAGUGCUCCCUACGACGGUAAAUCGGGGCAAAAGACCCUUUCUUCGACGACGUGGACACGGGGAGGGAGCAGGCGAAGCGUGUCGUUCGUAAUGGAAAGAAAGAGACCACUACUUCGCCUCUUUGUUGGACCGCCGGCGCGAACACAGUGGUCUCUGAUCAGGACCAGGAACCAAUUCGAAUUUGGAUCUUGACAUGUUGGUGGUUUUUAACCGUAGGCAUCUUGCCAGGAAGUUGGUGGGCUUAUCAUGAAUUAGGUCGGGGUGGCUGGUGGUUUCGGGAUCCCGUAGAAAUGCUUCUUUUAUGCCUCGGGUAUUAGCCACAGCUCGUAUUCAUUCUGUAAUUUUACCCCUUCUUCAUUCUUGGACCUCGUUUCUUAAUAUUGUGACUUUUCCAUGCUGUGUCUCAGGAACCUUUUCAAUACGGUCCGGAUUGCUAGCUCCCGUUCAUAGUUUUGCUACAGAUGAUACACGAGGAAUCUUUUUAUGGUGGUUCUUCCUUCUAAUGACCGGCAUAUCUAUGAUUCUUUUCUACCAGAUGAAGCAGCAGGCAUCGGUCCGUAGAACGUAUAAAAAAGAGAUGGUUGUGGCGCGAAGUACUCUUGUGCAUCUACGUCACUCGGCUCGCGCGCAACCCCGCCCCGUUAUGUUAUGGAAGAAUUGAACUUCUUGCUGGGCUGGUUAUUCAGAGCCAGCAAUUGGCUGCCGGAUUUCGUCCUGCAAUGAGGCAGAUCGCUUCGGGGGGUCACUGUGGCGUGGCUGAAUGUAGAGCAGUCCGCCCCUACAGCGUUUGAUCAGUAGAUUAUUUAGAACUUCGGAAGAUGGUCAAGGUACGAAGUGACAAGCCACUGCGCUAGAUGCGCAUGUGGUCGUAGUAGUCGGCUCGUCGCUACUUUUAUCCAAAGAAUAAGGCCUACAAGCUCUCUGUUUGGAGACAGAACAACGUUAUAAGUUCUGAGUCGUAUGAAAACUAGCGGUUUGGGGGAAAUAGCGAUUUA
rnacentral:sRNA from 1 species